rnacentral:lncRNA from 1 species
AUUCUGAAAUAAUGAUAAAAGUAGGAAGUUACCAGUGUGAGACUAAUUGCAGGAACCAGCAGUAGAUGAUGACAGAGCUAGAUUAUGAAGGGAGACACGUAAAACGAAGCUUCGGUUGCUUCCAUGCUUUUGACAUGGAGCAGGAGAGUCAUCUACUUUGGCGACAAACUUCUAGUCAAUGAUGUCAUUAGAAUGAACCACACACAGAAGGCAAAAGUGUGAGCUAACCUGUACAUCCAUGGGAGUGCUUGUGCCAGAAAUCGCACUAUAUAAAGCCUUUUGCUCAGAAAGUUUGAGAGAAACUUCUACACUUCAUCUGGAAUACAUAGCGCAUUACUCUAAAUGUACAUUGUCCUCCAUUCAUCGAACAAAUUUCUAUGUAAUUAAAAUAUAUUUUGAUGCAUUAAUUUAAGUAAGGGUAUUUGCAUUUUUAAUUUCUUUUUAAAAUAGAUGUUUUUACAUUUUUAUCUAGUGGUUUUGAGUAUGUGUGUAUACAUGCAUUUAUGAGUGUAUACUCACCUGCUAUGCCAUGUGUGUGGAUCAUAGGAUGACUUACA